AGAGUUUGAUCCUGGCUCAGGACGAACGCUGGCGGCGUGCUUAACACAUGCAAGUCGAGCGAGGCCCCGCCUUCGGGUGGGUGUCCUAGCGGCGAACGGGUGAGUAACACGUGGGCAACCUGCCCCCGGCUCUGGGAUAACUCCAAGAAAUUGGGGCUAAUACCGGAUAUGACCGCUGACCGCAUGGUCUGGUGGUGGAAAGAUUUAUCGGCUGGGGAUGGGCCCGCGGCCUAUCAGCUUGUUGGUGGGGUAGUGGCCUACCAAGGCGACGACGGGUAGCCGGCCUGAGAGGGUGACCGGCCACACUGGGACUGAGACACGGCCCAGACUCCUACGGGAGGCAGCAGUGGGGAAUAUUGCGCAAUGGGCGAAAGCCUGACGCAGCGACGCCGCGUGGGGGAUGACGGCCUUCGGGUUGUAAACCUCUUUCAGCAGGGACGAAGCGCAAGUGACGGUACCUGCAGAAGAAGCACCGGCCAACUACGUGCCAGCAGCCGCGGUAAUACGUAGGGUGCAAGCGUUGUCCGGAAUUAUUGGGCGUAAAGAGCUCGUAGGCGGUUUGUUGCGUCGGCUGUGAAAUCCCGAGGCUCAACCUCGGGUCUGCAGUCGAUACGAGCAAACUAGAGUGUUGCAGGGGAGACUGGAAUUCCUGGUGUAGCGGUGAAAUGCGCAGAUAUCAGGAGGAACACCGGUGGCGAAGGCGGGUCUCUGGGCAACAACUGACGCUGAGGAGCGAAAGCGUGGGGAGCGAACAGGAUUAGAUACCCUGGUAGUCCACGCCGUAAACGUUGGGCGCUAGGUGUGGGGCUCAUUCCACGAGUUCCGUGCCGCAGCUAACGCAUUAAGCGCCCCGCCUGGGGAGUACGGCCGCAAGGCUAAAACUCAAAUGAAUUGACCG
rnacentral:rRNA from 1 species